rnacentral:rRNA from 1 species
UACGUAGGAGACGAGCGUUGUCCGGAAUCACUGGGCGUAAAGCGCGUGUAGGCGGAUCGGCAAGUCUGCUGUGAAAGCUCCUGGCUUAACCGGGAGUGGUCGGUGGAAACUGCCAGUCUGGAGGACGGUAGAGGUAGGUAGAAUUCCCGGUGUAGUGGUGAAAUGCGUAGAGAUCGGGAGGAAUACCUGUGGCGAAGGCGGCCUACUGGGCCGGACCUGACGCUGAGACGCGAAGGCGUGGGAGCGAACGGG